UUUCCGUAGGUGAACCUGCGGAAGGAUCAUUAUUGUAAAACCGAGGUGCGAGGGCUGUCGCUGACCUUUUCGGUCGUGCACGCUCGAGCGCUCUCACACUAUCCAUCUCACCCCUUGUGCACCACCGCGUGGGUCCCUUUCUGGCUCGUCCGGAGGGAGGCUCGCGUUUUCACACAAACUUGAAGUAGUGUAGAAUGUCCUUUUUUUGCGAUAACACGCAAUCAAUACAACUUUCAACAACGGAUCUCUUGGCUCUC
rnacentral:misc_RNA from 1 species